AAAGAGCAGGGACCAGACAAAGUUCAGUGACCUGGGUCUGGAGAGUGAGGGAGCUCCUCCAGCUGAUUAAUAAGGGUCGUUCUGUCAGGACUGAUCGCAAUUUCAAGAGCACGGUUGAGUACCCCUUAACCAAAAUGUUUGUGGCCAGAAGAAUUUUGGAUUUUGUGACAUAUAAUGAGAGAGCUUGAGAUCACCAUCAUUUCCAAUAUUUCCAACUCUGAAUUUAUAUGCUAUCGAUCAUUGAAAUUUACAAGUACGCACUGUCUGAGAAAAUGGACAACAUUGGGCUUCGUGCAGUCAUCCGCUACCUCGGUCUCAAGGAGGUCCACGAGAACAUGAUGGCAACACUAGGGGAGGGUGAAAAAUAAAUAAAUAUGCGAGGUUUUCUAAAAUUAACUACUUCUUCCUUGGGCCACGGCCUUAUCAAUCACCCUUUGUAUAUCGCACUAUCUACAACCCUGAAAUUCAUUUUCUUGUGGGCAUGCUCAAUAAUAACCAUAAUGAAAGACUGCGCCAACUAGGCAUUCAAUCACUGUGUAAAAGACAAGCUGCAAAUACAAAAAAAAGUAAUAAAUAAAUAAAGGUCAAACAUGA